rnacentral:misc_RNA from 1 species
GGAAGGAUCACUAGAGAUUUCGCCCUCCGGGGCUCUCUUUUUCUUCACACACCCCUGUGCACUUUGGCUGCCGCUUCAUUGCGGUGGUCUUUUAUAAUUACCAUACCCAUAUACACAAGUCAUUGAAUGUAAAAUCGUUAUAAACUAAUAUAACUUUCAACAACGGAUCUCUUGGUUCUCGCAUCGAUGAAGAACGCAGCGAAUUGCGAUAAGUAAUGUGAAUUGCAGAAUUCAGUGAAUCAUCGAAUCUUUGAACGCAUCUUGCGCUCUUUGGUAUUCCGAAGAGCAUGCCUGUUUGAGUGUCAUGAAACUCUCACCUGCAGCACUCUUUUAUUAGAGGGCUGGAGCGUGGACGUGAGUGCUGCUGGUGCCCUCGCUGCAUCGGCUCACUUGAAAUUUAUUAGCUGAAUCCUCUAGUGUUGGUUCUACUCGACGUGAUAAGAUCUCCGUCGAGGACAGUGCUCCUUGUGGGCGUUGGCCACUGCUAGCUGUUGAUACGCUCCUAAUUAGCGCAGACUUCGAGUGCUGGCAACUUUUGACAACUUGGCCUCAAAUCAGGUAGGACUACCCACUGAACUUAAGCAUAUCAAUAAGUGGAGGAAAAGAAACUAACAAGGAUUCCCCUAGUAACGGCGAGUGAAGCGGGAAGAGCUCAAAUUUAAAAUCUGGCAGGCUACGCUUGUCCGAAUUGUAAUCUCGAGAAGUGUUUUCCGCGUUGGCCUGUGUACAAGUCCCUUGGAACAGGGCGUCAUAGAGGGUGAGAAUCCCGUCCUUGACACAGACACCCAAUGCUUUGUGAUACACUCUCAAUGAGUCGAGUUGUUUGGGAAUGCAGCUCAAAAUGGGUGGUAAAUUCCAUCUAAAGCUAAAUACUGGCGAGAGACCGAUAGCGAACAAGUACCGUGAGGGAAAGAUGAAAAGCACUUUGGAAAGAGAGUCAAACAGUACGUGAAAUUGUUGAAAGGGAAACGAUUGAAGUCAGUCGUGCCUGCCUAGAUUCAGCCUUCUGGUGUAUUUCUAGGUCGGCAGGUCAGCAUCAGUUUGGGGGGGUUAACAAGGGAGCUGGGAAUGUGGCAACCUCGGUUGUGUUAUAGCCCAGUUUCGCAUUGAUCUCGCUGGACUGAGGAACGCAGUGCGCCCGCAAGGGUUGGUCUUCGGACACAUUCGCACUUAGGAUGCUGGCAUAAUGGCUUUAAACGACCCGUCUUGAAACACGGACCAAGGAGUCUAACAUGUUUGCGAGUCUUUGGGUGGAAAACCCAUGGGCGUAAUUAAUGUAAAUGCAGGUGGGAUGCGCAAGCAGCACCAUCGACCGAUCUGGAUCAUUUAUGUGAUGGAUUUGAGUAAGAGCACAUAUGUUGGGACCCGAAAGAUGGUGAACUAUGCCUGAAUAGGGCGAAGCCAGAGGAAACUCUGGUGGAGGCUCGUAGCGAUUCUGACGUGCAAAUCGAUCGUCAAAUUUGGGUAUAGGGGCGAAAGACUAAUCGAACCAUCUAGUAGCUGGUUCCUGC